rnacentral:rRNA from 1 species
AGAGUUUGAUCAUGGCUCAGAUUGAACGCUGGCGGCAGGCCUAACACAUGCAAGUCGAACGGUAACAGGAAGCAGCUUGCUGCUUCGCUGACGAGUGGCGGACGGGUGAGUAAUGUCUGGGAACUGCCUGAUGGAGGGGGAUAACUACUGGAAACGGUGGCUAAUACCGCAUAACGUCGCAAGACCAAAGAGGGGGACCUUCGGGCCUCUUGCCAUCAGAUGUGCCCAGAUGGGAUUAGCUAGUUGGUGAGGUAACGGCUCACCAAGGCGACGAUCCCUAGCUGGUCUGAGAGGAUGACCAGCCACACUGGAACUGAGACACGGUCCAGACUCCUACGGGAGGCAGCAGUGGGGAAUAUUGCACAAUGGGCGCAAGCCUGAUGCAGCCAUGCCGCGUGUAUGAAGAAGGCCUUCGGGUUGUAAAGUACUUUCAGCGGGGAGGAAGGUGUUGUGGUUAAUAACCACAGCAAUUGACGUUACCCGCAGAAGAAGCACCGGCUAACUCCGUGCCAGCAGCCGCGGUAAUACGGAGGGUGCAAGCGUUAAUCGGAAUUACUGGGCGUAAAGCGCACGCAGGCGGUCUGUCAAGUCGGAUGUGAAAUCCCCGGGCUCAACCUGGGAACUGCAUUCGAAACUGGCAGGCUUGAGUCUUGUAGAGGGGGGUAGAAUUCCAGGUGUAGCGGUGAAAUGCGUAGAGAUCUGGAGGAAUACCGGUGGCGAAGGCGGCCCCCUGGACAAAGACUGACGCUCAGGUGCGAAAGCGUGGGGAGCAAACAGGAUUAGAUACCCUGGUAGUCCACGCCGUAAACGAUGUCUACUUGGAGGUUGUGCCCUUGAGGCGUGGCUUCCGGAGCUAACGCGUUAAGUAGACCGCCUGGGGAGUACGGCCGCAAGGUUAAAACUCAAAUGAAUUGACGGGGGCCCGCACAAGCGGUGGAGCAUGUGGUUUAAUUCGAUGCAACGCGAAGAACCUUACCUGGUCUUGACAUCCACAGAACUUUCCAGAGAUGGAUUGGUGCCUUCGGGAACUGUGAGACAGGUGCUGCAUGGCUGUCGUCAGCUCGUGUUGUGAAAUGUUGGGUUAAGUCCCGCAACGAGCGCAACCCUUAUCCUUUGUUGCCAGCGGUUAGGCCGGGAACUCAAAGGAGACUGCCAGUGAUAAACUGGAGGAAGGUGGGGAUGACGUCAAGUCAUCAUGGCCCUUACGACCAGGGCUACACACGUGCUACAAUGGCGCAUACAAAGAGAAGCGACCUCGCGAGAGCAAGCGGACCUCAUAAAGUGCGUCGUAGUCCGGAUUGGAGUCUGCAACUCGACUCCAUGAAGUCGGAAUCGCUAGUAAUCGUGGAUCAGAAUGCCACGGUGAAUACGUUCCCGGGCCUUGUACACACCGCCCGUCACACCAUGGGAGUGGGUUGCAAAAGAAGUAGGUAGCUUAACCUUCGGGAGGGCGCUUACCACUUUGUGAUUCAUGACUGGGGUGAAGUCGUAACAAGGUAACCGUAGGGGAACCUGCGGUUGGAUCACCUCCUU